GGUUAUCGUUCCCAGUGUUCAACUGUAUAAAGAACACCACGGUGUUUCGUCGUAGAUCAAUGUUCGUUUUUUCUCUCCAACCACGAGUGGCCUAUCCCGGUGUCAGCUACUACAAACCCCUACGCCGUCUACUACAUUCUGGGUUUCGCUGUCCUCGACCGCCGCCUCGAGAACGACCGCACGUGCUCGCCUCGACGACGUCGCUGCUACCCGUGUGUGUUGAUGUGUUCUCGCAGAGGGAGGGCCGAAGUCUAACCCGCGCCCGUGGGCGCUCGGACUAGAGGAUGGGAGGUUUUAUCGUCGUGCUGGUCCGUAUGUCGGCCAGAUAGACGGCGGUAGUUGUGCCCCGGUGCGUGGCUCUUUGGCAGCCACUCUGAACUCUGGCGGGGAGGUGGUCCCCAGCUCCACCGACUGCCUCUGUUGCGCGCCUUUCCUCGUGGAGGCCAGGAGUGGAGGUCGUCGAGGCCGGGUGACUUUAGUGCUGUGGUCGUUCGCACCCAGGGAGCGGAGGCGGCGGUAGCUGUACCGGCGUCGUCGGCUCUAGGUGGUUGGCGUACUACGCGCACUCGGAGGUAGAGGUGUAUCGCGGUGACUUGGUGCGACCCUAGCGGCGGUUGUGGCAGCGGUCUCAUUUGCUUUCCCGACCCUGCCACAACCACCCCCCAUCUACCCCGCUGACACACCGUCUCUUUACCCAUUCCUCACCGACCCUGUCCCUUUGUGUCCUCACCACCACCCCUCGCAAGCGCCGCCAUCAGUUAAAGGAGCUUGCUUUAUUUUUCGACUGGACCGAUUAAAGGAGACAAGAUUCUAAGUAUGGACUUAGGUUACUACUUUUCGUGCAAGCCGGGUUUUCGAAUUUUAUGACCAGCAAGCCUUCAUUAACU
rnacentral:rRNA from 1 species